CUCGGCGGGCCAGAUGGAGGCGUAGUUAGGCUAAAAUGGGCUUUAGGAUUGGUCAGCUCCAAGACUCUUCAAGUGAGGGGGCGGUGCUUGGAGAGUGGGCCUGUUAGUGAGUGGGCGUGGCCUGCAAGAGGAUCUGGUUCCUCCAGUGAACCCGCCAGAGAAAUUCCCACAAUCCAAGGGCCUUCUGAAUGCCCCUGAGUUGUUUCCUUUUUUCAGUAUUUCCAUGCAUUCAAUUAUUUCUUGUGAAUAUGCAAUUGAUUAUUGUGACUACCUAUAGCCAGCACCAUCUCUUGUCUACACCAGGAGAGCCUCAUCUGUUCUCAGGAAUUCAUUUUGUAGCUUUAAAGUAACUCCAUUUGACCCGUGUGAAUUCUCUCCCGGACUCUGCUCUCUGCUGAUUUUCUGCACGAGUGUUUGUGAGUUCUAUUUGCUGUCAUCUCACAGGUUUGAUGGAGAGAAACCGCUUAAACUGACAGUGACUGAUGGUGAAUGGGACAGACAGUGAGCCUGACGGGUGGCAAUAGCCUGGCAGUGACAACCUACAGGUGAUAACUUCGUGGUGACUCUAGUUGUGCUACUGUUUCUGAUAGGACCUUUCUGAUGGAGCAAAGUCAUAUGUAGCAUACACUGUUUCCACUUGUAUGUUAAUAGUGACAAGAACAUCACGGUAGAGGGUGCUGUAGAGAAGGUCUUCUCGUGAUAUUGGAGAAGCGAAGAGAGAGAGAGGGACGUAGGAAGGCAAGCCUCAGGUAUGCUCUACAAAGGCAUGUCCCCAAUGACCAAACUCCCUUCCAUUAGGCCCCUUAGACUAAAGGUUCUACAAUCUCCCAAUAGUGUCACAGGCUGGAAAACAAGCUUUCAGCAUUUGGGCCUCUGGAGGACACUCAAGAGCCACCCUAUCAUGGUAUAAUAAUAAACAAUGACAUGUGUAAAAUUC